rnacentral:rRNA from 1 species
UACGUAGGGGGCAAGCGUUGUCCGGAUUUAUUGGGCGUAAAGAGCGUGUAGGCGGUCAGAUAGGUCCGUUGUGAAAACUCGAGGCUCAACCUCGAGACGCCGAUGGAAACCAUCUGACUAGAGUCCGGAAGAGGAGAGUGGAAUUCCCGGUGUAGCGGUGAAAUGCGCAGAUAUCGGGAAGAACACCCGUGGCUAAGGCGGCUCUCUAGUACGGUACUGACGCUGAGACGCGAAAGCGUGGGGAGCGAACAGG